UAAAAGAGUCAAUGAUAUUGUUAAAGAGAUAAAAUUGAAAUUUUAUAAAAUAAAAUUGCUAAAAUUAGUACCCACAUAUAUAAUAAUAUAUUUUUAAAAAAAAUUGAGGGGCACAUUGCCCCCUAUGUCCAAGUUUUCUUUUUGAGUCAAUGGAGCCACAUCCUGUUGUUUGUAGAAUUGUAAGUGUGCUUCAAGAUAUAUACUUUUUUUUUUAUUAAUAAAAUUGAAUUUAUUAAAAAAAUAUGAAAAAUAAUUCUAAUACAAGGAUAAAAUGUAUGAAAAAAAAAAAGCGAAAGGAAGGGAAAAAAAAGUAAAGAGAGGAAAAAAAAGAAAGAAAAUGCAUUGAAUUAACAUGAUUUGGUCUUAAGUUGCCUAAGUCCAUAGAAAAAAUGACUUGAUUGAAGGCUACGUAUUAUUGAAAGUAAAGUAGAAUUUAUGAGUCUCCAUAAUCAUAUUUUAAAAGGCAAUACUACAUUGAUUUUAAAAGGUAUAGUGUAGUUGGAGCUCAACCAACAAUGGAAAUUGUUGCAAAAAAAAAUAAGGUAACGAUAAUGGACCAUGAGGGAGUUUGACUAAAGAGUUGAUUGAAGAUCCAAAGGUGAUUACUAGAAGAAUCUCAAAGGGUUGGAAACCUCAACUUAUUGAUGAACUCCCAGGCACAUUUUGUGGUACUUGGAGCCUUUUGGUAUUUGUUCUCCAUAGAAAGGGAAUCCACAUGCUAGCAACAAGCCUGUAGGGGGUGAUAAAACAUGCACCCUUAAUUCUACGUUUUGUGAUAAUAGUUCUGCCAUGGACAAUUUUCUGAAUAAUUCUUGCCCAGUACAAACACCAAAUACAACGCUCUUUGAUUUUGGAAUAUUCCUUGAUGCUCUUCAAUCUGGUGUAGUGGAGUCAACUGAUUUUCCACAGAAGUUAUUUUACUAUUCUUGGUGGGGACUACAAAAUCUGAUAUAUGCUAAUAUAGGAUAUUUUUCUUUUAUGCUGAACUAGUUGGCAACAAUAGUGUCACUUAGUGUGUGUAUUGCAUUGAAUUUCUAGUUUUGCCGCAUUUUUUGGAAGUGUUGAAGGAUAUUUUUAAACACUUUGGAACUUUGAUUGUGGUAUUAACUUGAAACUUUGAUGAUGGUUAUAGACAAUAUUAUGUAUUCGAUAAUAUAUUUCUAUGUUAAUAUAAUGUUAUUUUGGAGACA